CUUUAAUUCAUCAUAUUUGACAUGAAUUUAGUUCGAUUCGUAAGGAAAUUAAUUAAUCUGUUUGGAACAAAACGGAAAGGAAAUGAAUUCCGAUCAUUUACAUUGUUUGGAAAGGUCUAACAAGUCAUCAAUUGUGUUCAUUUUUACUGCUUCACCCUUCAAUAAAUAAUAUGAAAGGCGACAUAACUAUCUAUAACUAUAUAUUAUUCCUCAAUAACUGCACACGUGUCGUGAGGAGGCCAAGGUGCGGGCGCGAGGCGCGUGGCGCGGGCGGAGCCGCGAGUGGGAGCGGGCGCGGGGCGCGCGAGGGUGCGGACGCGGGUGCGAGCCGAGGGCGGAGGGCGACGCGUGGCCGGCGGGAGCGGAGCGGGCGCUGGCGCGAGCGCGGCUGGGCGGAGAGCUUGGUGCUGGGGUGUGCUGUGCGGUGGUUCUGCCGGCGGUUGCGUGUGCUCGGCGCUGGCGUCAGCGGGGCGAGUGGCGGGAGGAGCAGUGGCAGCGGGCUAGCGCGCAGCAGGGUGCGGCGCGGGCGCUCGGGCCCGAGUGCGGUGCGGCGCGAGGUUCGGCGCGAAGCCGAAAAGAUACGCGACUUUUUGGUUUAUCCGGUGCCCACGAGGCCAUUUCGGCCUCGUGACCACGUGAGAGGGAGGUCCACAGUGGACCUCCCUCUCAUUAUAUAUAUAUAUAUAUAUAAAAUUUUAUUUAUAAAAUAAUAUUAUUUAUUAAUAUAUUAUAGUAUUUUAGUGUUGCAUUUAUUAGAUAUAUGUGACGGGUUGACAUUUGUUGAUGUUGGUUCGUGAAUUUACGCUUCGGGGUACAUAAAUAGAAUAUUUGUUAUUAUUAUAUAAUAAUUUAUUAUAUAAUUUACUAUUUAUUUUUAUAAAAUAUAAAAUAUAUAAAUAAAUGUUAAAUAAUUUAGACUACUGGUAUUCGAUAUAAAUAUUAAUUUUAUAAUGUUGAGCAUUCACAUAUAAAUUGUACAUUAAAAAAUAAAAAAAAAUUAAUACAGGUUAAGUUAAUUUUAUAUUUGACAAAAAUUAAUUGCGAGAAUCACAAACAAUGAUUUCUUAUCUCAUUCACUAACUACUGGGGGACUAUAAUACCUACUAAAAUUAUUUCACUAACUAAUGGGGGACUACUAUGCCUACUAAAAUUUUUUGAUGUACUUAUUGCACCAUUUAAAUUCUAAAAUUAAUUUUAUAACUAAUUUUUAAAAUUAAAUUUUAAAAUAACUACCCGCAGCAUCGCGCGGGUCCCUUAACUAGUUUAAAAAUUAAAUACAAAACACAAACUAUUUCACAAAUUUGUGGUAUAUGACCCCACGCAUAAACCCAGCCGACAUCAUUUCAGCAUAUGUCACAUAUCCAAAUUAAAGUAGACAAACCGUCUCGCCAAUCAUAAUAACC
rnacentral:lncRNA from 1 species